rnacentral:lncRNA from 1 species
CGCGAGGCGGCCCCGCCGCUUAACUCCUUCCGCGCCGGGCGGGGAGCGGCGGGGCCCGAGGUGGGGAGGGGGGGCACGGCUUAAACGGGGGAGCGCCUGGGAACGGGGGGGCGCGGGGGGCACGGCUUAAAUGGGGAGCGAUUAGCGGCGGGCAGAGGUUAAACGGCGGCGCCCCGGUGGCAGCCCGGCGGGACCACCCCGGCGCUGCCCCCGCUCGCCGGCCCGGGCGCGCUCCGGGUGCGCGGCGCCCGCUCCGCUCCGCUCCUCCCCCGGUGCGGCUGUCCCGAGCUGCGCGUCCCCGCCUGCCCCGGGCCGUGCCGCACCGCCGCGCUCGGUCGGCAGGAAAAAAAAAGAAAACAAAAAAAAUCGAGAAAAACCCCAAAUAAUAAAAAACAGACCCAAAAAAUGGAGCUUCCUGGCCUCGCCGCCGGUAAAUCCCGGUGGAUACUCCCCAAAGUUCGCGGCGCGCCGCCGGUGCGCGCCUGGCUGCAGGGCAGCACCGGGGGGAAAAAAAAGAAAAAAGGGGAGGAAAAAACCGUGCGAAAAGGGAAAAGAAUGGGGGAAAAGGAGCGUGCGGUCCCCGGGACCCCCCCGCGGGAGGAGCGGGGGGAGCGCGGAGCCCCCCGGUCCGCCCGGGCCCGGCGGGCACAGCUCCGCACCCGCGGAGCCCCGGCGGGGCGGGCACAGGCGCAGCCCCGGGACCCCCGACCCGCUCCCGAGUUCCAAAAUGACCUUUCCCUGCAUCGUUUUGGAGCAGAAAUAAAAGAAGGCUUGCAGCUACCAGAAAGUCAUUAA